ensembl:lincRNA
CUGUGGAGCAUAUCUCAAAUCAGCCUAUGCUGACCACUUCCUCUCUGGAACACAAAACCAGCAGGUAUCUUUUCCUGUGCUGUUGGAAGGUAUGUGGGCGGGGUGAGGCUGAGGACAGGGAGUGGAGUAUGUUUUGAGUAGGACAUGGGCAAUGGGGUGGUAGCCACACACUGCUCCUUAAACUUACCAGUGAACAGAGAUCACCUGGGAACUAACUCAUGAAAGUACAGGUUCUGACUAAGGGCCUGGGGUGGAGCUGAAAUCCUGCUUUUCUGACACAGUACUAGAUGAUGCCACUGGCAAGGCUGGGAAGGACUUAUUCCCCAAAGAUGAUACAGACAACAUGCUCACAAGUAAAUGAACAUUCGUGGAUGUCUGGGAGGUGCAAAAUAUCAUACCAAAUGCUAUGUCAUCAUCCACUACCUUGAGGUUAAUAUCCACAUCAAGAUUCAACCAAAGCCAACGUAUGAACAAGUAAAAAUUCAUAAAAGACAGAAAACUUACUACCUCAUUGGUAGAAGCACCAAGAAUCCACUGGGGAGCUUUUUUUUUCCCACAAUGCUAGCUAUUUCACUUCUAUGUACAUACCAGAAAUGUGAGCAGAUAUUGGCCAAAAAACACACAAAAAAUGUUCAUGAUAUCAUUACUUCAUAAUAGCACCAAACUCGAAACAUCCCUACUGAUCAUAAACAGUUGAAUAAAAUUAGCGUGUAACUUCUCACGGAAUAUAUGUGGCUUUUUCAGUAGAAUACAACAAUAAGAAUAAACAAGCUAGGAGACUUGCAAAGCAUCAUGUACUACAUAGAACAAGGAGGAAUCUCUUGUGAGACACUAGAUAAUACUUGAAACAGUAUUUAUUUCAAACAAGCAGACAGGUGCCCUCCUUUUUUAUUACUUCCCAGCUCUAAUUUUAUCUAGGUCUGACAAGAAUGAUUUCAACCUAGUAUCGUCAGCUUUCACACAUCCCUAAAGGGAACAUGUUGAACUCAACUCACCCCUCUAGUCAUCUAACUAAGGCUCCUGUUUUGUUUCUUUUAACCUGGGUGAGUCUAGCUAUUGGAUUCUUCUCUUGAGAUAAAUUAUGAGCUAGAAGAAUUUUCAGUUUAACAUGAAAGAAACUUAUUUUUACAAAUGUAAUUAAAAUCAAUUUCAAUGACAUGAGGACAAAAUUGGCUGGUUGCAACUGGCAGAUUCUGUCUACUAUGAAAUGCUACAUUUCUCCUGUAUUUCAUUUCUACUUCCACUUCUUUCUUGAUUAAUAUCCACUGUAUUUAGGAUUUCUUUUCUCUGGGUGCCAGUGGGAUUUCGAGUGGACAUGCCAAAUGUCACAGAGUGAGAGUAGGGCUUGGCACCAUCUAUACAGGUUGUCUUCCCCUGAGAUGUGCCCUGCGUCCUUAGAUGUGGUUAUCCAAGAUGCCCAUAUCAUCAUCAAAUUGCCAAGCCAUAAAGCCCACUCCUUGACCUCUGAUCUUUCUCACCUGAAUACCAGCAGGUUGUACACAUACACAUUACAGCCUUUACAGCCUGAACUAUGAAGUAUUGAGGGGGGCAGCUUUCCUUUUUUCUGCCAGCUUCUGCAGUAGACAUGGACAAUUGUGAUUCCCUCCCUAUACACUGCUAAGGCCCAUGGGACAACCUGAGUCUACCCUGGACCUAGACACCUGGAGUCAUGUGAGUGAGCUGGGGUCCAAGGCUGCCAACCUGGGCCAGAUGGCUAUGUCCCUGUGAAGUGGGGCAAAGCACUUCUGUGAUCUGGAAUUUCCUAGUUUGACUGGCUAGCCCUAAAAAUACCCUUCAUGUUAUUAGAAAGAACCAUCUCAAAACAUGGGGAAGGGAAUGAUUUCUAUUUUCUUAUAUAAUAUUUUAUUUUUUAUAUUUGUCUUUUUCCUUUUUUACAAAAAGCAUGUAUUACUUUUAUCAUAUUAGAAAAAGUAAGUUGCAAAUAUUUUGUAAAUGCUUACUGAAAUAUAAACAGAGGAGACGAAAUUGUUACUCUAUAUAUGGUAGCUGAAAAAUGUCUCACCAUUCACUAAGCAAAAAUCAAAAUGGGUCCAAGAUCUAAAUACUGAAACAGAAACACUUAAUCUGCUAGAAGAUAAAAUAGGUAAAACUCUGGAUGGCACGGAAGUAGGCACGGACUUUCUGAACAGAGCUGCAAUUGUACAGACAAUAACAACAAAAAUCAACACAUGAAAUCAAACCAAAUUAAAAGCUUCUGCACAGCAAAAGAAACAAACAACAGAGUGAAGAGAUAACCUACAGGAUGAGAAAAAUUUUUUGCCAGCCACUCCUCAGGCAGAGGACUGAUAUGUAGAACAUCUCCUAAUUAUUAAAACUAUCUCCUAAUUAUUAUGCAGACCAUGAAGUGCCUACACAAUGAUGUGCACAAAAUAGUCAUCUAAUAAAUGAUUAAUAAAUUGAUGAGCAAUAGAUUAUGAUGUAAGAAAUCUGGGUUCUAAUUUAUUAUAUUCCUGAUUGUUAUUUGGGCAAAUCAUUGGAUUUCUCUGAACUUCAGCUUCCUUAUCUGUAAAAGUAAGUAAAUUAAGACAAAAAAAUUUAAUAAAAGUUUCACCCAACCUCAGGCUCUAUUUUGAAUCAAAUUUAAUUUUUAUAUUAAAAAGUCUCUGUUUCUCCAUUUCUAAGGGCCUGAAGUUGUAUUUCAUGUGUACCAUAUUAGCUGUUACUCAUUUUUCAAUGUAUAAAAAGAAUGUAACUUCAAACUUAUACAUUAUUUGAAAUAUAUGGAAAUAAUUUAAUGUGUAAAAUGAAUAUGCAUAAAACAAGCUUAUCACAACACAAUUUUAGUGGCAUAAAAUUAAAUUAAAAUAAAUUACUGAAAUGACAAUAAUCUUUACAUGGUCUUUGCUUGCAUGCCUGUCUAAACUGAAACAUUAAUAAAUAAAAUAUGUGUGUAUAAUAUGAAAUUUUAAUUAGGAAAUUUUAUGCUAAGAAUUCUAACUCAAAAUUAUAUAGGAUAAUACUAAUUAAAUUAUAACUUUUAUUUUUUCCUUCUCAUCAAAUUCUUUUUACUUUUACUUUUUCAUAUGAUAUGUGCAAGUUAAGCUUUUAUUUAUUUAUUUAUUUAUUGACACAGAGUCUCAUUAUGUAGUUCAGACUGGUGUUGAACUCACUGUGUAGCCCAAGCUGGCCUCAAACUCACAGCGAUCUUCUUGCCUCAGCCUCCCAAGUGCCGGGAUUACAGGGAUGCACUACCACAACCAGCUAAACAGUGAUUUAAAUGGUUUUAUAUUGUUAACCACUAGAUGGAGCCAAUUUUAUUUAUUCAAUAUGUGUAAAUGCAAACCCAAAUGUGUAUUAUGCUUCAGAUAUUAGCAAGGCAUCUUAAAUC